rnacentral:siRNA from 1 species
UAGGAUGGGUGACCUCCUGGG